AACUUUGCAGCAGCCCGCCCAGUAGAUAUCCACCUGGGGAAGGACAAUCACCCAACAUUCUCUACAAACACUAACUUGCUACAAACUCAACUUUGUUGAUUCUUCUUAGAAAGGUCAAGGGCUCUAAUAUGCAAUCUCUUAGAGGUGUUCAGCAAAGUCCUUGUCAUUUGGUAGGCCUAAACUUAACAUUGGAAAAGAUUUCAUGAAUUUGGUGAGAACCGAGGUAGAAGCACAAGGAAUAUCUGGACCGUGAAAUGUACUAAAAUUGAUAGAACAAGAACUCUGGAGUCUAAUAGCUAUAAAUUUAAGAUGAAAUGAAUAAAUGAAAGUAAAAUCUAAAUAUAUGAAUAAUAGCUCUUAUGCCAUAGUAAAAGAUACCUGGUCAUAUGUGGGAG